AUAGCAUGCAAAACGUGAUUUUCGCUGAGAUGAACAUAUAUGUUCAUGACGCGAGUAAUUUUCACUUUUCACUGAUCCAAAGGAGGUCACGUGGGAUUGCUUGGCGUUUGCGAAAUUAACAGCAAUGAAAAUGGCGAAACGAAACUUGUGAAUCGUGCAUUUGCUCUUCAUGGUAGCUGCCAGAAAAUCGAAUCAAGCUUAUGGGACACUGGAUUACAGGUUGCUGCCACUACUCCAUGUGCCCGCAAUUGUCUUGCGUGUAUGAUUACACUAACGACGUCGCCCACCACGGCGGAAGUGUUUUGCGUACACGCGUUUCAGCAUGAAGCCUGCAGGUGGACGUAAAUUGUAGAAGGCAGCUAGUGGGGGAGAAGAUCAUGGUCAUAGGUCAUAUGGCUCCUGGAGCUCCCAGUGGGCUCCCUUGUGAAGUACUUUUCAGAACACACACACAGUUCGCUCACAGAACCAACGAGUAGGAUGUUACUUGAAUACUGAGAGAAAAUGGCGUAACACAUACAAAUAUCGUGUGACACAUAUGACAAUAAAAACAUUUUUCACGAGG